AGUGGCGGACGGGUGAGUAACGCGUGAGAAUCUGCCUUGGGGUCGGGGACAACCACUGGAAACGGUGGCUAAUACCGGAUAAGCCGAUUGGUGAAAGAUUUAUUGCCCGAAGAGGAGCUCGCGUCUGAUUAGCUAGUUGGUGAGGUAAGAGCUCACCAAGGCAGCGAUCAGUAGCUGGUCUGAGAGGACGAUCAGCCACACUGGGACUGAGACACGGCCCAGACUCCUACGGGAGGCAGCAGUGGGGAAUUUUCCGCAAUGGGCGAAAGCCUGACGGAGCAAGACCGCGUGAGGGAGGAAGGCUCUUGGGUUGUAAACCUCUUUUCUCAGGGAAGAAGCUCUGACGGUACCUGAGGAAUCAGCCUCGGCUAACUCCGUGCCGGCAGCCGCGGUAAUACGGAGGAGGCAAGCGUUAUCCGGAAUUAUUGGGCGUAAAGCGUCCGCAGGUGGCGAUUCAAGUCUGCUGUCAAAGCACGGGGCUUAACUCCGUAAAGGCAGUGGAAACUGAAUAGCUAGAGUGCCGUAGGGGUAGAGGGAAUUCCCGGUGUAGCGGUGAAAUGCGUAGAGAUCGGGAAGAACAUCGGUGGCGAAAGCGCUCUACUGGACGGCAACUGACACUCAGGGACGAAAGCUAGGGGAGCGAAUGGGAUUAGAUACCCC
rnacentral:rRNA from 1 species